AUUGAACGCUGGCGGCAGGCCUACCACAUGCCAGUCGAGCGAGCGGAGGACGGGUGAGUAAUGUCUGGGAAACUGCCUGCUGGAGGGGGCUAACUACUGGAAACGGUAGCUAAUACCGCAUACCAUCAGAUGUGCCCACAUGGCAUUAUCUCGUGGGUGGGGGAAUGGCUCACCUAGGCGACGAUCCCUAGCUGGUCUGAGAGCAUGCCGCGCCACACGGGAACGGAGACACGGUCCAGACUCCUACGGGAGGCAGCAGUGGGGAAUAUUGCACAAUGGGCGCAAGCCGGAUACAGCCAUGCCGCGUGUGUGAAGAAGGCCUUCGGGUUGUAAAGCACUGUCAGCGGGGAGGCGUUACCCGCAGAAGAAGCACUGGCUAACUCCGUGCCAGCAGCCGCGGUAAUAC
rnacentral:rRNA from 1 species